GACGAACGCUGGCGGCGUGCUUAACACAUGCAAGUCGAACGGAAAGGCCCUGCUUUUGUGGGGUUCUCGAGUGGCGAACGGGUGAGUAACACGUGAGUAACCUGCCCUUGUCUUUGGGAUAACUUCUGGAAACUGGGGCUCAUACCGGAUAGGAGCUCCUGCAGCGUGGUGGUGGUUGGAGAGUUUCGGCGGUUGGGGAUGGACUCGCGGCUUAUCCGCUUGUUGGUGGGGUAGUGGCUUACCAAGGCUUUGACGGGUAGCCGGCCUGAGAGGGUGACCGGCCACAAUGGGACUGAGAUACGGCCCAGACUCCUAUGGGAGGCAGCAGUGGGGAAUAUUGCACAAUGGGCGGAAGCCUGAUGCAGCAACGCCGCGUGCGGGAUGACGGCCUUCGGGUUGUAAACCGCUUUCGCCUGUGACGAAGCGUGAGUGACGGUAAUGGGUAAAGAAGCACCGGCUAACUACGUG
rnacentral:rRNA from 1 species